rnacentral:rRNA from 1 species
GAUGAACGCUGGCGGCGUGCCUAAUACAUGCAAGUCGAGCGAACGGACGAGAAGCUUGCUUCUCUGAUGUUAGCGGAGGACGGGUGAGUAACACGUGGAUAACCUACCUAUAAGACUGGGAUAACUUCGGGAAACCGUAGCUAAUACCGGAUAAUAUUUUGAACCGCAUGGUUCAAAAGUGAAAGACGGUCUUGCUGUCACUUAUAGAUGGAUCCGCGCUGCAUUAGCUAGUUGGUAAGGUAACGGCUUACCAAGGCAACGAUGCAUAGCCGACCUGAGAGGGUGAUCGGCCACACUGGAACUGAGACACGGUCCAGACUCCUACGGGAGGCAGCAGUAGGGAAUCUUCCGCAAUGGGCGAAAGCCUGACGGAGCAACGCCGCGUGAGUGAUGAAGGUCUUCGGAUCGUAAAACUCUGUUAUUAGGGAAGAACAUAUGUGUAAGUAACUGUGCACAUCUUGACGGUACCUAAUCAGAAAGCCACGGCUAACUACGUG